GACGAACGCUGGCGGCGUGCUUAACACAUGCAAGUCGAGCGGAAAGGCCACUUCGGUGGUCCUAGAGAGGCGAACGGGUGAGUAAAACGUGAGUAAUCUGCCCCUCACUUUGGGAUAGACACCGGAAACGGUGAUUAAUACCGGAUAUGACCAUAUGUCGCAUGGUGUGUGGUGGAAAGUUUUUCGGUGUGGGAGGUGCUCGUGGCCUCUCAGAUGGGUGUGGUGGUGAUGGGGCCCCAUGGCUUCGACGGGUAGACGGCCUGGGAGGGGGGGGGGUCACACAGGGGAUGGGACACGGCCCAUACCCCUACGGGGGGCAAGAGGGGGGAAUAUUGGACAAUGGGCGGAAACCUGAUCCAGCAACGCCGCGUGAGGGAUGACAGCCUUCGGGUUGGAAACCUCUUUCAGUACCGACGAAGCGAAAGGAAGGGUAGGGACAGAGGAAGCACCGCCCAACUACGU
rnacentral:rRNA from 1 species